rnacentral:lncRNA from 1 species
GGCAACCGGAGUCCUUUUCCACACUGUGGAAGCUUUGUUCUUUUGCUCUUUGCAAUAAAUCUUGCUGCUGCUCACUCUUUGGGUCCACACUGCCUUUAUGAGCUGUAACACUCACCGUGAAGGUCUGCAGCUUUACUCCUGAAGCCAGCGAGACCACGAACCCACCGGCAGGAACGAACAACUCCAGACGCGCCGCCUUAAGAGCUGUAACACUCACCGCGAAGGUCUGCAGCUUCACUCCUGAGCCAGCGAGACCACGAACCCACCGGAAGGAAGAAACUCUGAACACAUCCGAACAUCAGAAGGAACAAACUCCGGACACGCCGCCUUUAAGAACUGUUAACACUCACCGCAAGGGUCCGCGGCUUCGUUCUUGAAGUCAGUGAGACCAAGAACCCACCAAUUCCGGACACAAGGGGAGCUGACUUUCAUUAUAAAGAUUUUCUCAUUGCAAAGUGAAAAAGAGAAUAAUAACUUUAAAACAAGGCAGAAAGUAAAGAGAACUGGAAGCGAGGAACAUGCUCUGAACUAGAACUGGCAACAUGAGAGAUGAGCUCAGGCUUCAAAAUGGUGUCUGCACUGGGUCUUGAAGGAAGAGCAGAGUUUGGGCAUUUAGAAACCAAGAAUUCCAGCCGGUUUCUUCAGACUGAUAACAAGAAUCAGCAAAAGUCUGAGAGCAGGAGUGCAGCUCAUUGGUACAGCAGCCAUAGUAAACAAGGAGGAAGGGAAUCCCUUCAUGAGGACAGGAGGGAAAGAAGGA